rnacentral:piRNA from 1 species
UGCAGUGCAAUGUGUGCU